GCUAUAAUGCAAGUCGAACGCGUUUCCGUUAUUGAUUUUAGAUGCUUGCAUUUAGAAUGAUUUAACACGAAACGAGUGGCGAACUGGUGAGUAACACGUGGGUAACCUGCCCUUGAAGUAGGGGAUAACACUUGGAAACAGGUGCUAAUACCGUAUAACAACCAAAACCACAUGGUUUUGGUUUAAAAGAUGGCUUCGGCUAUCACUUUAGGAUGGACCCGCGGCGUAUUAGCUUGUUGGUAAGGUAAUGGCCUACCAAGGCAAUGAUACGUAGCCGACCUGAGAGGGUAAUCGGCCACAUUGGGACUGAGACACGGCCCAAACUCCUACGGGAGGCAGCAGUAGGGAAUCUUCCACAAUGGACGAAAGUCUGAUGGAGCAACGCCGCGUGAGUGAUGAAGGGUUUCGGCUCGUAAAACUCUGUUGUUGGAGAAGAACAGGUGUCAGAGUAACUGUUGACAUCUUGACGGUAUCCAACCAGAAAGCCACGGCUAACUACGUGCCAGCAGCCGCGGUAAUACGUAGGUGGCAAGCGUUGUCCGGAUUUAUUGGGCGUAAAGCGAGCGCAGGCGGUUUCUUAGGUCUGAUGUGAAAGCCUUCGGCUUAACCGGAGAAGUGCAUCGGAAACCAGGAGACUUGAGUGCAGAAGAGGACAGUGGAACUCCAUGUGUAGCGGUGAAAUGCGUAGAUAUAUGGAAGAACACCAGUGGCGAAGGCGGCUGUCUGGUCUGUAACUGACGCUGAGGCUCGAAAGCAUGGGUAGCGAACAGGAUUAGAUACCCUGGUAGUCCAUGCCGUAAACGAUGAGUGCUAAGUGUUGGAGGGUUUCCGCCCUUCAGUGCUGCAGCUAACGCAUUAAGCACUCCGCCUGGGGAGUACGACCGCAAGGUUGAAACUCAAAGGAAUUGACGGGGGCCCGCACAAGCGGUGGAGCAUGUGGUUUAAUUCGAUGCUACGCGAAGAACCUUACCAGGUCUUGACAUCUUCUGCCAACCUAAGAGAUUAGGCGUUCCCUUCGGGGACAGAAUGACAGGUGGUGCAUGGUGUCGUCAGCUCGUGUCGUGAGAUGUUGGGUUAAGUCCCGCACGAGCGCAACCCUUAUUGUUAGUUGCCAGCAUUCAGUUGGGC
rnacentral:rRNA from 2 species